GUCUACGGCCAUCUACCCUGAACAAGCCUGAUCCUGUCUGAUUUCGGAAGUUAAGCAGGGUUGGGCCUAGUUAGUGCUUGGAUGGGGGACCACCUAGGAAGACCAGGUGCUGUUAUAG
rnacentral:rRNA from 1 species